rnacentral:rRNA from 1 species
GCUACUACGUGCAGCAGGCGCGUAUACGUAGGGUGCGAGCGUAUCGAUACUGGCGUAAGCGUGCGCAGCGUUUGUAAGACAGGCGUGAAUCCCCGGGCUCAACCUGGGAACUGCGCUUGUGACUGCAAGGCUAGAGUAUGGCAGAGGGGGGUGGAAUUCACGUGUAGCAGUGAAAUGCGUAGAGAUGUGGAGGAACACCAAUGGCGAAGGCAGCCCCCUGGGCCAAUACUGACGCUCAUGCACGAAAGCGUGGGUGGCAAACAGGAUUAGAUACCCUGGUAGUCACGCCCUAAACGAUGUCAACUAGGUGUUGGGUGGGUAAAACCAUUUAGUACCGUAGCUAACGCGUGAAGUUGACCGCCUGGGGAGUACGGCCGCAAGGUUAAAACUCAAAGGAAUUGACGGGGACCCGCACAAGCGGUGGAUGAUGUGGAUUAAUUCGAUGCAACGCGAAAAACCUUACCUACCCUUGACAUGUCUGGAAUCCUGAAGAGAUUUGGGAGUGCCCGAAAGGGAACCGGAACACAGGUGCUGCAUGGCUGUCGUCAGCUCGUGUCGUGAGAUGUUGGGUUAAGUCCCGCAACGAGCGCAACCCUUGUCGUUAAUUGCCAUCAUUUAGUUGGGCACUUUAACGAGACUGCCGGUGACAAACCGGAGGAAGGUGGGGAUGACGUCAAGUCCUCAUGGCCCUUAUGGGUAGGGCUUCACACGUCAUACAAUGGUCGGUACAGAGGGUUGCCAAGCCGCGAGGUGGAGCCAAUCCCAGAAAGCCGAUCGUAGUCCGGAUCGUAGUCUGCAACUCGACUGCGUGAAGUCGGAAUCGCUAGUAAUCGCGGAUCAGCAUGUCGCGGUGAAUACGUUCCCGGGUCUUGUACACACCGCCCGUCACACCAUGGGAGCGGGUUCCGCCAGAAGUAGGUAGCCUAACCGCAAGGAGGGCGCUUACCACGGCGGGGUUCGUGACUGGGGUGAAGUCGUAACAAGGUAACCAAUC